rnacentral:rRNA from 1 species
AUUGAACGCUGGCGGCAUGCCUUACACAUGCAAGUCGAACGGUAACAGGUCUUCGGAUGCUGACGAGUGGCGAACGGGUGAGUAAUGCAUCGGAACGUGCCCAGUAGUGGGGGAUAGCCCGGCGAAAGCCGGAUUAAUACCGCAUACGACCUGAGGGGGAAAGGGGGGGAUCGCGAGACCUCUCGCUAUUGGAGCGGCCGAUGUCAGAAUAGCUAGUUAGUGGGGUAAAGGCCUACCAAGGAAACGAUCUGUAGUUGGUCGGAGAGGACGACCAGCCACACUGGGAGUGAGACACGGCCCAGACUCCGACGGGAGGCAGCAGUGGGGAAUUUUGGACAAUGGGCGCAAGCCUGAUCCAGCAAUGCCGCGUGCAGGAAGAAGGCCUUCGGGUUGUAAACUGCUUUUGUCAGGGAAGAAAUCUUCUGGGUUAAUACCUCGGGAGGAUGACGGUACCUGAAGAAUAAGCACCGGCUAACUACGUGCCAGCCGCCGCCGUAAUAC